rnacentral:lncRNA from 1 species
ACAUUCCAAAUGAACAUAGUUCAACUCUAGCUGCACAAGUUACAGAUUCCCUAGGUUACUAAAAAGACCUGAUGUUUUAUUCCUCCAACAGAAGCUCUUAAAAAUUGUUGACUCUUCUCUGAAGAGGGUCCUCUGCUUUGAAUGACAUGACAGGAGGCCUCAAUGGAACCACACAUUUCCUGAUCCCUGACAGGAACUAAGAAAAAGUCCUAGGGCAAAACCACAGGAAUAGAGUCAAUGUUGAAAUAAACAGGCU